GCGGGGGCUGCAUAUUCAUGUUUUCUAAGGGGACACCAGACCCUGAGUACUCAGGCAACAGCACUCAGUUCAGAAGCAGGAUGGAUGGACAGAAUCUGGUACAGAAGUGGCUGGCAAAACACCAGGUGACAGAGAUACCAGGGGGCCCAAUAUGUUUGGAACCAUAAGGAGCUCAUUCAGGCAUCACAGGACGCAGCAGUGACUCACCUCAUGGGCCUCUUUGAACCUAACGACAUGAAAUAUGACAUUCACCAAGACCCUGCUCAAGACCCUUCCCUGGCCGAGAUGAUGGAGGGGGCCUCAUCGACCACAGCCACC
rnacentral:lncRNA from 1 species